rnacentral:tRNA from 1 species
AGCCCCGUGGUGUAGUGGCUAGCAUAAGGGACUUUGGAUCCCUUGACACCAGUUCGAAUCUGGUCGGGGCUG